UACAGAGGCCUCGAGCGUUAGGCGGAAUCACUGGGCUUAAAGCGUGUGUAGGCGGAUGUCUAAGUGCCUUGUGAAAUCCCACGGCUUAACCGUGGAACUGCUUGGCAUACUGGAUGUCUUGAGCCACUCAGGGGCGAGCGGAACAAAUGGUGGAGCGGUGAAAUGCGUAGAUAUCAUUUGGAACACCAAAGGUGAAAACAGCUCGCUGGGAGUGUGCUGACGCUGAGACACGAAAGCCAGGGGAGCAAACGGG
rnacentral:rRNA from 2 species